rnacentral:rRNA from 1 species
UGGGGAAUAUUGCACAAUGGGCGAAAGCCUGAUGCAGCAACGCCGCGUGAGGGACGACGGCCUUCGGGUUGUAAACCUCUUUUAGCAAGGAAGAAGCGAAAGUGACGGUACUUGCAGAAAAAGCGCCGGCUAACUACGUGCCAGCAGCCGCGGUAAUACGUAGGGCGCAAGCGUUAUCCGGAAUUAUUGGGCGUAAAGAGCUCGUAGGCGGUUUGUCGCGUCUGCUGUGAAAACCCGAGGCUCAACCUCGGGCCUGCAGUGGGUACGGGCAGACUAGAGUGCGGUAGGGGAGAUUGGAACUCCUGGUGUAGCGGUGGAAUGCGCAGAUAUCAGGAAGAACACCGAUGGCGAAGGCAGAUCUCUGGGCCCGUAACUGACGCUGAGGAGCGAAAAGGGUGGGGAGCAAACAGGCUUAGAUACCCUGGUAGUCCACCCCGUAAACGUUGGGAACUAGUUGUGGGGUCCAUUCCACGGAUUCCGUGACGCAGCUAACGCAUUAAGUUCCCCGCCUGGGGGAGUACGGCCGCAAGGCU